UACCGAGGUCUCAAGCGUUGUUCGGAUUCAUUGGGCGUAAAGGGUGCGUAGGUGGCGGGGUAAGUCAGGUGUGAAAUCUCGAGGCUCAACCUCGAAACUGCACUUGAUACUGCCUUGCUCGAGUACUGGAGAGGAGAUUGGAAUUUACGGUGUAGCAGUGAAAUGCGUAGAUAUCGUAAGGAAGACCAGUGGCGAAGGCGAAUCUCUGGACAGUUACUGACACUGAGGCACGAAGGCCAGGGGAGCAAACGGG
rnacentral:rRNA from 1 species